GGGGAUAUAAUUCAGUUGGUAGAAUGCAUGCUUUGCACGUAUGAUGUCAUCGGUUCGACUCCGAUUGUCUCCA
rnacentral:tRNA from 1 species